GGGCCUGUAGCAUAGUGGUAGUGCACCCGGUUUGCAUCCGGGCGGCGGGAGUUCAAUUCUCCCCAGGUCCACCA
rnacentral:tRNA from 1 species